rnacentral:tRNA from 1 species
GGAUUGUAGCUCAGUGGUAGAGCACUUGCCUAUAAUGUGUGAGGCCCUGGGUUCAAUCUUCAGCACCA